AAGGCGGGGGAACGAACGGAGCAGCAGCAGAAUGUUGGCUGCGCCACGGAGCAUUCUCUCCCUCUGCUCUGGCUGGACCUCUUCUUAAAAGCCAGGGAGGAGGAGGUGGAGAUUCCCCAGCUGAAGGGGGAGGGUUUCCUGCGGCUCUCUGACGGGGGCACACCUCUGCACUGGGGAGCAGGAGCGGCUCCGGGGGACGGGACACCAUGCUCUUCAUCUGGGCUCUGCAACUGGCCUUAGUGUUCCAGGGGGGCUUCUCCGCUGGACAAUCAUUUAAGCCCUCCAAUGGGCAGGCAGACCUUUGGAAGAAGUGGUGUGAUGAACAUAAAGCUCUCCAUAAUCGCCUAGACGUCGUAGAAGAGACUCUAGACAAGACUGUGGAGCACCUAGAAUCUGAAGUAAAGAAUCUCCUUAACCUGAUGGAUGGGAUAGCAUGGCACUUAGCCUCAGAGCUCGAGAAUCCUGAUAACCUCUUUGGAGAUGCUCUAGCUCAAGGGCUGGAAAAACGCUAAAGCACCACCGUUCCUGCUAUCAACAGGAGGAAAAAUAGAGAUGGCUGAAUCUUGCCCUCUUCAGGGAGGAGAGCUCCCCACAGACAAGGAAGAGGAUGCUGGGGGAGGGGAUUUGUGAAUCCAUUUGAAGGCUAAGAGGACCUGGGGCUGAGGGCAGCAGGGGCUCCCCAGCUUUUUGGAUAUUUCAUCCUGAAGGUGGCUGUUCUUUUGGAUUCACUUGGAUAUGUGUUGGGAAAGGCUGUCUUGUAAUAAAUGUCACUCAUCCUGUAAA